rnacentral:rRNA from 1 species
UACGUAGGCAGCAAGCGUUGUUCGGAAUUACUGGGCGUAAAGAGUGUGUAGGUGGUGCUCAAAGUCUGUUGUGAAAUCUCCCGGCUCAACCGGGAGGGUGCGCCGAAUACUGAGUGACUAGAGUGCGGGAGAGGAAAGUGGAAUUCCUGGUGUAGCGGUGAAAUGCGUAGAUAUCAGGAGGAACACCGGUGGUGUAGACGGCUUUCUGGACCGUAACUGACGCUGAGACACGAAAGCGUGGGUAGCAAACAGG